rnacentral:rRNA from 1 species
CUUUGAUUAUGGCUCAGGAUAAACGCUGGCGGCGCACAUAAGACAUGCAAGUCGAACGAACUUAACCCUUAGUUUACUAAUGGAGCGGUUAGUGGCGGACUGGUGAGUAACACGUAAGCAACCUGCCUAUCAGAGGGGAACAACAGUUAGAGAUGACUGCUAAUACCGCAUAUGCCAAGAGUAUCACAUGAUACAAUUGGGAAAGGAGCAAUCCGCUGAUAGAUGGGCUUGCGUCUGAUUAGAUAGUUGGUGAGGUAACGGCCUACCAAGUCGACGAUCAGUAGCCGAGUUGAGAGACUCUACGGCCACAUUGGGACUGAGAUACGGCCCAGACUCCUACGGGAGGCAGCAGUCGGGAAUAUUGCGCAAUGGAGGAAACUCUGACGCAGUGACGCCGCGUGCAGGAAGAAGGUUUUCGGAUUGUAAACUGCUUUAGACAGGGAAGAAAAAGACAGUACCCGUAGAAUAAGCUCCGGCUAACUACGUGCCAGCAGCCGCGGUAAUACGUAGGGAGCAAGCGUUAUCCGGAUUUAUUGGGUGUAAAGGGUGCGUAGACGGGAAGACAAGUUAGUUGUGAAAUCCCUAGGCUUAACCUAGGAACUGCAACUAAAACUAUCUUUCUUGAGUGCUGGAGAGGAAAGUGGAAUUCCUAGUGUAGCGGUGAAAUGCGUAGAUAUUAGGAGGAACACCAGUGGCGAAGGCGACCUCCUGGACAGUAACUGACGUUGAGGCACGAAAGUGUGGGGAGCAAACAGGAUUAGAUACCCUGGUAGUCCACACCGUAAACGAUGGAUACUAGGUGUAGGGUGUGAUAAACGCUCUGUGCCGUCGCAAACGCAGUAAGUAUCCCACCUGGGGAGUACGGCCGCGAGGUUGCAACUCAAAGGAAUUGACGGA